UCAUAACGGAACCUUUAUGAACGUUUCUUAUCCCUUUUUCAAAAUCUUCUUUUUCUUCAUUCCUUAUUUGUUCCUAUUUAAAAUUCUGAAGAGGACCAACUUCCGAUGGAUCGAAAAAUUGUAAGUUUCGUGGGAAGGGGGAGCCAUUGUAUAGAUGACGUAUGCGCAUAAACGAGAGUCUACUUAAUUUUUUUGCAGUUGGUAGUAUUGCCAUUUUGAACUAUUUUGUGAUUUGGUUGCAGAGGAGUUUUGUCGUCUCGUUAAUUACAGCCUUCCAAGAAGCUUAUAAAUUGGAAAACCUACGCAAUAUGAUAGAAAUAAUGUUAUCGUAUUUACACGCACGGAUUCAUCGAUUCAACGUUUCAUCGAUUCAACAAUAAUUUUAAUCAAUUUCACGGCAUCAUUCGACCUACGUUGAGAAAGACAAAAGAAAAAGAGUGAAUGAAGAAGAAAAGAAAAAAAGAGAAAAGGAGAAAAAAAGAAAAAGAGAAAAUGUGCUCUGCUGAGAGAAACUAAAGUAAUUAAUCUAGAAUAAUUAAUUUAGAAUAAUUGUUUAAAUUAUUAUAUGACAUUUCGAAACAUUUGUAACUAGUAAUAGAUUUUUUUUUAGUAAUAAAUUUAUAUUGAAUUAAUUA